rnacentral:lncRNA from 1 species
CUCUUCCUGACCCCACGCUCGGUGACAUCAGCUGGGAGCUUGCGAUCAGCCAGGGUGGGAGCAUUUACGCCACAGAACCUGGCACAUGCUACAGGCCAGGACUUUGUCCUUUUCCUUUUCUGGGAGUUGGCUCAGCAGCGUGCUCCUGUUGUGCUGUUCCCCUCUCUGCAGGGUCAUGUGGCCUGGCCUGCCGGCCCUCCGUCCCCGCUCCAGGACUAACCUCUGUGGAGGGAAUCACCUAACUCGAGGGAUCACGACUCCUGAGCAGUGAAGUCGCAUGAGGCCCCACAGACCCCGGGAUUGGAGGCCCAAGGACCUGCCAGUGUGCGGGGCUGGCCUCUGCAGACAGUGAAAAGCUCCCGUGGCCACGCUUGGCAGAUGCUGGCAGUUGGGAGCCAAGGAUUGCUUGUGAGCAGAGGAGGGACACACACUGUCUGCAAGGACUGCAGCUGUGGCAGAGUUUGAACAAUGGUGUGUGUGAGGGCAAAGCUCAGAAGACAGGGACAACAGGAGAUCAGUCCAACAAUGUCUGGGGGCCUGAAACAGCUCGACAGCAGAGGGACGGGACUCUGAAUGGGGGGAGGAGCUACCAGCCUCUGGUGAGCAGUGGUUGGGUCACAAGGGAAGUGAAGAGACAGCCAAAUGGCCAAAUUCCCCUGGAAAUUUCUCCUGGUGUCUGGCACCCUGGGAUUUUGCCUGGCUGGGUUUGUGGGCGGCUGCCAGAGGCACUGCAGAAGCUGUCAGGCUGGGCUUCCAGGGACAAAGGUGGAAGCGCCCCCACCAGAGAAGAGUGUGGGUGUCAGGCAUGGCCUGGGCUGAGACCCCGCUGUCACUUCCUGUCUGUGAUCUUGAUCAAGCUCACCCCCUGCCCUGAGCCGGCUGGUUUGUUCAUCAGUACAACAGGGUUAAUAAAUAGCACUGCCUACCCGCUGGGUGCUGUAAACAUCCUGUGGAAAGAUGGACUUUUGAAAACAUCGCGUGUCACUGUGAGGAGCUGCCGGGGUUGGAAGAGGAGUGGCUAGAUGUUCCUUGAGGCUCCCUGCUGCGCUGGGCUGCAGGAUGGUUUUGUCUGAAGAUUCCUGAAUGGGAUCAGGAGAGGAG